GGCCGCGGGAAUUCGAUUUCUGGUUGAUCCUGCCAGACCCGACUGCUAUCAGAGUGGGACUAAGCCAUGCGAGUCAACGUAGCAAUGCGUGGCGAACGGCUCAGUAACACGUAGUCAACAUGCCCAGGGGACGUGGAUAACCUCGGGAAACUGAGAUUAAACCGCGAUAGGUCAAGAUUUCUGGAAUGGAUCCUGGCUUAAAUCUACAUGGCCCCUGGAUUGGACUGCGGCCGAUCAGGCUGUUGGUGAGGUAAUGGCCCACCAAACCUAUAACCGGUACGGGCUCUGAGAGGAGAAGCCCGGAGAAGGGCACUGAGACAAGGGCCCAGGCCCUAUGGGGCGCAGCAGGCGCGAAAACUCUGCAAUGGGCGAAAGCCUGACAGGGUUACUCUGAGUGAUUUCCGCUAAGGAGAUCUUUUGGCAGCUCUAAAAAUGGUGCAGAAUAAGGGGUGGGCAAGUCUGGUGUCAGCCGCCGCGGUAAUACCAGCACCCCGAGUGGUCGGGACGAUUAUUGGGCCUAAAGCAUCCGUAGCCGGUUGUGCAAGUCCUCCGUUAAAUCCAGCCGCUCAACGGAUGGGCUGCGGAGGAUACUACAGAACUAGGAGGCGGGAGAGGCAAGCGGUACUUAGUGGGUAGGGGUAAAAUCCUUUGAUCCAUUGAAGACCACCAGUGGCGAAGGCGGCUUGCCAGAACGCGCUCGACGGUGAGGGAUGAAAGCUGGGGGAGCAAACCGGAUUAGAUACCCGGGUAGUCCCAGCUGUAAACGAUGCAGACUCGGUGAUGGGCUAGCCUCGUGUCAGCCCAGUGCCGCAGGGAAGCCGUUAAGUCUGCCGCCUGGGGAGUACGGUCGCAAGACUGAAACUUAAAGGAAUUGGCGGGGGAGCACCACAAGGGGUGAAGCCUGCGGUUCAAUUGGAUUCAACGCCGGAAAUCACUAGUGAAUUC
rnacentral:rRNA from 1 species